rnacentral:lncRNA from 1 species
CUGUAGUCUAGGUGCUCGUUAUAAGUGCUUGAAAUCAUUUAUUGCCGUGUUUCCUAGCAUCAAGACUGUGAUCGAAGGGUGAAUUGUGACUGAAUUACUGAGCUACAAAUAAUAUUAAGUAGUUAUUUAUAAGUCAAGGUUACUCUACAUCACUCUCGACUCGCCUUGAAAGUCAUCUGCAAUGUGGAACGUCCAACAAUUCAUUGACACAGUUGUGACUGACUCCUUCAUAGCCGUCGGCCAGCUCUUUCACAUCCACCAUCUAAUUGAGGUGAAAGGACAGAAAUGUUGAAAGUGUGUUUUCUGCAGCACCAGUAACCUCAAGAUACUUCACUCACUACAGCUGCUUUUGAAGAACUUUCCAGGUGUUUGUGAUUUACAUUCCGACUUUUGAAAUGUCUCCUUGAUUGGACAUAUUUAGCUAAUAAAAAAGAACAAUAUAUAAAGCAUGCAUCUGUUUUAAGGUUAUUGUGUUUGUGUGUGUGGUGUAGUUCCUCUUGGUGUCCACUAGGUGGC